UGACUACAACGGGGGAAAUUAAGAGUUAAGGGGUGCAUGUGGCACCAGCCUGGCGUGGAAAUCCUUCCGUUCCUCCCUUCGCCAUGCCACCGCCAUCUGUCAUCUGCGUGAACAUCUGCACACCCAAGGUGCCCUUGUCACCCGAUGUUAAAGCAGUAUGUUUGCUUUUUCUAUUAAGGGAACCUGGAGUGAUUCACCAGAACAAAACCAAUUAGACGGAUGGCGUCGUGGUGAAUCACUUGGAUUGCAGAGCCAUAUUAGAUACAUCGUUGCAUCCUCCGGCAAUGUUGUCACCGUGUCAUCCGAGAGCCGAAUUAUCAUUUGCCCUGAGUUGGUCGUGUCUCGGCUUGGUAGCUUCUUUCCACUUGUUCCUGCUUUCGUUGCUAAGCCUUCUGCCAAAAAAAGGGCUCUUCGCUCAAUCCUGUUUUUUCAAUACGCACCGUUUGCAUAUGAGUUUGGAGUUGACAUUUUAGCAUAUUUUAUGUAUUUCACAAAUUCAGGGUGAUACUACUGGAUUGGGGCAGUGGUUAGUAUGCCUACCUCAAAGUUCUGAGGUUCUGGAUUUUGAAUGAUCAAUUCUUUGCCUUAACACCUCGAAGGCAAAGCUGAUGAAAUGAACUCGACAGCACAAACGAUCUCAAAUUGCUUUCUGGACUGACUUGAGUGCAUUUCAAAAAAUUGGUAAAUUUUGAGGUGGCCCUUCCGUUUUUCUGUAUGCGGCCCGCAAACGUAAAAGUUUGGACACCCCCUGUGUUACAUGAUGCUGAGUGUGGCUGUUGACUUAUGCAUCCACAAGACCACAGGAAACUUAAAUACUUUUUGGAGGGGGGUGGGGGGGGGAUUGUGAAGGGAGUUUAUGUUUAUGCAGUGUGUCCUUAACAAAAGAAGCUCAGUGCUAUUCUUGGCUUAGUUUGCAUGUCUUUGUAAUUUUGUUUCGGUUGGUGUACCGCCCUUAUUUCCAUUGAAUCGGAGCUCCAUAAUUUCUUCCAUUUUCAUUCGCAGUUAGUUGCACCCUCAUGCUUUUGUCGUACGUUCAGCCUCCAAGAAUUGCUAGCCAGUGGACUGUUUUGCUACAAGCUGUCCAUGUAUAUUAUUCACCAGUGUAGUUCUCAAGAGCUGUUCAAUAUAUUCCAUCGGGUGCUGAGCUGCUGUACAAUGAACAUUUUGUUGUAGUAAAUCGCGCUCUGAUAUAAUCGGCAGUAUUACACACUGCUGAAAUGACCGGUUUGUGUUGUGCUUUUUUUCUUUUCUCCUCAAAGCUUUGCAACAUUCUGAUCUUUCACACCGGUGAGUUCUUUUUGUUACUGGCAUGAAGCUGGAUGCCGCUUUGCCACAGCUGCCGCUCCAAUGAAGUGGACCCGACACUUAAGCACAAAAACACAUCCGCGUACAUGAAGCUCCGCACCAUCUGCUGGGGCUGAAUUCGUAAGGAUGCUAGUAGUGUCUACAAGCGGGCGCUGACCACACGCCACCGUUGCCCGGCACAACCCUCUGACACACUGAUGGAUGUGCACCAAAUACGCCGAAAGAUUGCACGCCAAAACAGAAGAAAAGAUUUCAAUGCUGCCUCAGCGUGAAAGAAAAAUGAUAGAGACACUAUUUUAGAGUGUUUGGUACCAAGCCGCCAUAUACAGAGUGUACACAAAAAAAAAAAAAAGAAGGCAAACAAACACCCUGAGAGCAUUCAGCACGAGCCAAAAAGUGUCUGGCGCAGCAGACCAUCCAUUGAAAAGAGCACCUGCAUGCUCGAAGAGUCUGAAACUCCAGUCUCAACAACUCUUUACAACCUUUAACCGCCUCCGCUUGUCAGGCUAAAGACAAGUUCCGAGCCUUGGAAAGGACCCCCGCUCCCACCCCAACGCUUGCUAUUUGUCGCCGACUUUUUUUGCUUUUUCUUCCGCUCUGUUCAAAUAUAUCUUUGUUCUAAUGGGUUCCACAGAAGUCGGCUCAUCCCAGCACCACCGGGUUUUAAAGGUCCGUGCGAGCGAGCCGGCUCUGGCGCUGCCGCACUUUGAAAUGAGGCCUGGCCGCGAUUUUUGCGGAGGAAGAUGCAGAGAGACCAGCUAACACUAGGUUGCUGUGGAAAACUAGGCUCCUAUGGCUAUAAAGAGCAGGAAGGGAUGAUGAGGCCUGAGCUGAUCUUCUUGGCAGCCCCUUCAAAGUCUCGUUCUGGAACUCCUUGACCCUUUUCCCCCUUGGACUUGGACUUUUUUUGGCCACUUCGUCAAUCCAUCUGCCACCACAGUUAAUCACCAACGUCCUAUAAAGAUGUCAUACCUACA